UUGGGAUGCUAGAAGGAAAGAGGCCGGGAGUGGGGGAGAGCAGAAUGCAGAAAAAAGGGAGAUUAGAAAAGCUGGUCCAGAGGGAGAAUUUCUUUUGGCAGCGAGGAUUCCAGUUCCCCAAGGGACAGUUUCCAUUGAGGGACACCUGUGAACACAGGUCUGCAGGAGCCCUGUGUUGUUGGGACCCAGAAGAUGUUUCAGGGGGUGAGGUCAUGCCCUACUCAAGCCUGCCAUGUGAGGUACCUCUCCUUUAGGGCCAAUGAGAUGACUUAUCAGGAAAUGGAGAUUGCUGUGUAAACCUGGCAACCCAAGACCAGUCUCUGGAACCCAUGAGAAGAAGGAUCUCCAGAGAUGAGUGCUGAGUGACAGGGAGAGGCGACUUGAGGCGGGCACCGCGCUUCCUGUCCCCCUUCCUGACAUUGUGUGAAGAGGACACUUACUGUGUAGUGACUGAAGCGUGGACAGAGACUCCAACCUUGAGCCCGGCCGUGAGCCUGCCCAUCUAGAAUCAUCACACACCAAUUCUGAAUGACAGAGGAGCAUUUGAGGCAUACCUAAUGGGACAGCAGGGGGGCUGUGAGGCCCUGGGGAGAGCUGCCUGGGGGCCUGGAAUACAUUAGGUGGCCCGGUGUUGAGAGAGAAAUGGACAUUGCAAGGUCGGCAUGUUCUCUGAUGGACGGAGCAGAGGCUCAGAGGUCCAGGGAGAAGGGCACAUCCCAGCCCACCGAUGGGUCUAGCCAGGGAGAUGGGGUAGCCAAGGACAGAUCCAGGGCUGACUGAGAUCUAUGUUCCUCCCUUCCAGGGCGGUCAUCUCUCAUCUUCUCCCUCCACGCAGCUAACCCAGAGUUGUUCCGACCUCAGGCCCAGGCCUCCAGGUGUGCCUCAUCUCCUCCUCUGGGCUCCAAGGACAGAGUUCCAAAGGCAGAGGGCCCCACUCCCGACCCAGCUACCACCCCCGCAAACCGGAAGACAGGAGCUCUUUGCCCAAAAUGAAGUCUGAAGCCCCCUGGCCAGCAUCUCCACCAGACUGUCUCGUAAUCCCAUGGACUCUGCCUCAUCUCCCAAGGCAAGAUUUGGUGCUGGGAUGGAGGACGGAGCGGAUGCUGCAAACAGGCGUUGGUUUGGAUUGAGUCACCCCACGCUGGUGUGAGAGACAGCUCUCCUUGAGAUUCCAGACACACCUUUGUUCCUCCUGCCUCGGGCUUCCGUAAAACUGGGAUUUAAGGUGAAAACGGUGACUUCUGAACUCGGCUCUCCUGUCUUAUGGGGAAAGCAGAGCCACGGCAGCAAACCCCUUUGGAUACCCAUGUACGCAGUUGCUCCUUGGUGCCCCAUCCAUGCACCCUAGAGGAGUUACCAUGCCUCUCCCCACUCAAGCCUGCCAGCUCCCACGGACCUCCUCUGCAGACUCUUCAAGGUGACCUCUGUCUGGAGAUGAGGACAAUGUGCCUGUCUGUUUUUCAAAUAUUUGGAGCCUGCUAAAGACCAACACAUUUUUUAAAGUGUGUAUAAUUUGAGGGCAAUUUGAUCCAUAUGUUUCUGAUUCCCUUGCACUCAAAUAAUCAAAAUAUUGAUUUUUAAGAGCCA